UCGAAUAUAUCUAUAGAACAUUAUUACGUGAAGUUAUUUCAAGUAUAACGUUAAAGUUGAAAGAACAAAAGAAGAGUCCUCUCUGUAUCUAUUACAAAGACACAAAGGAAGGUUGAUGAAAAAUAAAGCGAAGCUCGAGUCGUUAAUUCGUAAGAACAUUUCAAAGAAAAUUGGAAGCAAAAUCAGAAAGAGAAAAUGGAAGUAAUAAAAGAGAAAUAAAGAACGGUGGAUUCUGAAUGCGACUGAAACGAGUUGAUGAAGUUUCGCCCAAGUUGGACAGUGAAACUUUACGACAAAGGGGUGGAAAUUGCAGUGAGAAAGGAAUUUCGAAGAAAUCGAAACCAUUUACGGAAUAACAAGUGACAAUAAAGUUUCCACGAAAGAAAACAAACGCGCAUGUUAAGUUACGAAAAGCGAUGAAGUUAGAGACACAAACUUUUGUUGCCUAAAGGUUUCCUAAAUACGAAUUGGAGCUACGUGCUCUACAAUGCAACGUUCUAUACCACAGUUAUGUCACAAUGGCUGUUCAACAUCACACGUUCUGAGGACCUCACGAGUGGAAACUAAGAAACUUCAGAGACGGGUCGGUGAUUACAGAUACAAAAAGACUGGACAUGCCUUUAUUCUCGAGGGGUCAUAAUUUUGGGAGUUCCAGACACCCCGAACCGGCGGUAUGACAGUCAUUCCUGGUUUACCAGUCCACCUUUUAUCACACCUUUUAUCAUUUACAACUAAAAAGACAAU